GCGCCCGUAGCUCAGUCGGAUAGAGCAACUGCCUUCUAAGCAGUAGGCCAGGGGUUCGAAUCCCUUCGGGCGUGCCA
rnacentral:tRNA from 2 species